rnacentral:rRNA from 1 species
UACGUAGGGGGCAAGCGUUGUCCGGAUUUAUUGGGCGUAAAGAGCGUGUAGGCGGCCUGAAAGGUCAGCUGUGAAAACUCGAGGCUCAACCUCGAGACGCCGAUGGAAACCCCCGAACUAGAGUCCGGAAGAGGAGAGUGGAAUUCCUGGUGUAGCGGUGAAAUGCGCAGAUAUCAGGAAGAACACCCGUGGCUAAGGCGGCUCUCUAGUACGGUACUGACGCUGAGACGCGAAAGCGUGGGGAGCGAACAGG